UCAGACAGAAUGAUAUCGACAGUGCCAAUGUGCAAAUAGACAGGGGCUGAUGACCUCUGGCCUGCCGUUCUGGGCUGAGCCUAGUCAGUACCUAGAUGGGAGACCACAUGGGAAAACUAGGUUGCUGUUGGAA
rnacentral:rRNA from 1 species